rnacentral:rRNA from 1 species
UACGGAGGAGGCAAGCGUUAUCCGGAAUUAUUGGGCGUAAAGCGUCCGUAGGUGGCUCUUCAAGUCUGCUGUCAAAGAGUGGGGCUUAACCCUGCAAAGGCAGUGGAAACUGAAGCGCUAGAGUGUGGUAGGGGUAGAGGGAAUUCCCGGUGUAGCGGUGAAAUGCGUAGAGAUCGGGAAGAACAUCGGUGGCGAAGGCGCUCUACUGGACCACAACUGACACUCAGGGACGAAAGCUAGGGGAGCGAAUGGG